GAUGAACGCUGGCGGCGUGCCUAAUACAUGCAAGUCGAGCGAACAGACGAGGAGCUUUCUCCUCUGACGUUAGCGGCGGACGGGUGAGUAACACGUGGAUAACCUACCUAUAAUACUUGGAUAACAUCGUGAAGCCGGAUCUAAUACCGCAUAAUAUAUUGAACCGCAUGGUGCAAUAGUUAAACACGGUUUUGCUGACACUUAGAGAUGGAUCCGCGUCGCAUUAGCUAGUUGGUAAGGUAACGGCUUACCAAGGCAACGAUGCGUAGCCGACCUGAGAGGAUGAUCAGCCACACUGGAACUGAGACACGGUCCAGACUCCUACGGGAGGCAGCAGUAGGGAAUAUUCCGCAAUGGGCGCAAGCCUGAUGGAGCCACGCCGCGUGAGUGAUGAAGGUCUUCGGAUCGUAAAACUCUGUUAUUAGGGAAGAAAAAAAGUGUAAGUAACCCUGCACGUCUUGACGGUACCCAAUCAGAAAGCAACGGCUAACUUCGUG
rnacentral:rRNA from 1 species